rnacentral:lncRNA from 1 species
CACCAAAGUUUUUUGGACUAUGCUUGUAUAGUAAAAAAAUGAUAUAUUUCAGAAUGGAUUGAAUAUGUAUCACUAAUAACCCAAUCUGAAGCAAUGUUUUUUGAUUCUAGUAAUAAAUUUUAUAUGCCUAAUUAGUCGAUUACAACUCACAUCAGGUUAUUAAUAAAAUCUUACAUGAAACUGAUUAUUGGUAACUUUUAGAUA